rnacentral:lncRNA from 1 species
AUGGAAAGGAAUAGCUUUUAUUGGUUUUGGGUAGCUCUCAGGCGCGUCGUUAGCAAUUGAAAACAUCCGGGGCUUUAGCCCGGGGGGAGCACCGUCCUGACUCCUGCUGCUACGGUAUCUUAAUUAAUUAAAUAAUUAAUUAAUGAAUGAAUGUAUCGAUUAAUUAAUUAAGGGCGCCACCAACACAUAGGUCGCCUAUGCCGAGCGCCAGGGCAAAAAUAUGACAUUAGAAUAGCUAUAGAUAUAGCCUGCGUGCACCUACCCGAUGUCAAGAAGCCAUCGCUGCUCCGACGGACCUUUCUCCCCCAGCCAGGCAACGGCAAGUAAGUAGUGGUCUGCUUUUCACCACCAAUCCCUGGUCAUCCAUUGAAGCCAUCUCUCUCACUCUGCACAGUCACACUGUUGCCGCUUCAUUCUCAUUGUCUCAUAAUCUCAUUAUUAUGGCUGCUGUGGAUGCUUUAAAAAAUAAACAUUUUUCUCUUAGGUAAAAUCAAACCAGUGGGAUGUUGGAUUGAAAACCUCCAAAGCAAUGCAUUAAAAAUUGAAAGACAGUCCUAUGUGAAGUUUCUUUUUUGGGGAAUUUCAAAAUGAGGUACCAGAAUGGAUUGUCAACCCACUGUUUCUCAACCCUCUCCGAUAUUACUAUGAGUAGUAGUAUUGCAUGCAUACAGUAGCCUACUCACAUCAGCGCCACAGUAAGCCUAUAGAGGCUGCAACCAUUUGCUUCUCAAAAGAUUGUAGUGUUUUAGAAUGAACAACCACUAGAGAGACAAGACAAGACUAAUUUUGAUUGACAAGUUGGCUAGAUUUAUAUAUGUAGGCCUAUUUAUAUUAUUUUUUUAUUUAUAAGAAUGAAAGAAAUUGUGUAAUGAAAGAAUAAAACGAUGCAUUUUUGUUUGAAUAACAUCUUGCUCCCGCGGCCAGUGCCAGCGCCGGCAUUGCAAGGGGAGGGAUAUUACGUACAUUUGCAGGAGGCGGGAUAAGUGCGGCCGCUGUCACUCAGGUUUGU